rnacentral:rRNA from 1 species
UACGUAGGGUGCAAGCGUUGUCCGGAAUUAUUGGGCGUAAAGAGCUCGUAGGCGGUUUGUUGCGUCGGCUGUGAAAUCCCGAGGCUCAACCUCGGGUCUGCAGUCGAUACGAGCAAACUAGAGUGUUGCAGGGGAGACUGGAAUUCCUGGUGUAGCGGUGAAAUGCGCAGAUAUCAGGAGGAACACCGAUGGCGAAGGCAGAUCUCUGGGCCGUAACUGACGCUGAGGAGCGAAAGCGUGGGGAGCGAACAGG